rnacentral:lncRNA from 1 species
CAAACGGGAAGGUAAUCGACAUAACCCCUGGUCUUAGUGCUUUCCUAACUUGUGCUAUAAAAAAGCUUACCUUCUCAAAGAAGAAGCUGGUACCACUCUUUAUGUCACCGAAAAAGGAGAACCUCGAUUAUCUGGUUAACUUAAUGAAAGACGGGAAGCUGAAGACGGUAAUCGAUUCAAAGUAUCCCCUAAGUAAGGCUGAGGAAGCAUGGGCUAAGAGCAUUGAUGGUCAUGCCACUGGUAAGAUCAUUGUGGAGCCUUAAUCUAUGAAAUAUUACUUUAUACUUACUGCAGUGAUGCUUGGAGGUCAUGCUGCUUGUGUGUAUAAUUAGGAUUUGUGUAUCUUGAAAAUUAUGUGUAUGAAAUGUAUAGUUAAUAUACACAUUGGAUGACAUUGCAAAAUUUUCUUAAUGUGUUAUAAGCUUUGUAUUCACAAAUUUAGCUCUUCUUUUAUAUGUUUCCUACUUUUCCUUACUUUUUCUAAUUGACAAUUUGAGCAAUGAAAUGUUGUUGGGACGUGGAGUUAUAUGUGUUUUUUUUCAUGUCUAUUUUAUAAUUAUGUUUGGAGUUAAUAACCAUCUUUUAUAAUAAUGUCUAUUUUAAGGUUAAAAAUACUUGUUGAAAAUUGUAUGGUUGAAAAUUGUAUGGAUUUUCAUUGGAUACAUAUUUCAAUGUUUUUUUUUAAAUUAAAGUUUAGCUUAUGAAUUAAAUUUCUUGUGAAUAAUAUCUAUUAUAUAUAAUAUUUGAAAGUUUAUUGAGCAAUUUUUUUAUGAAUUUUUUUAUGUUAGAAAAUAUUUAAAAUUUAUGAAAUUACCUUUUUUUAUCCCAUCUUCAAUUAUUUAUUGUAACACAUUGAUUUUGAUUUUAUAGAAUGUAGUAAAAAUUUUAAAAAAUAAUUAUAUAAAUAAAUGUGACAUUUAUCAUACUUUUAAUUCACUUAUAAAGUAUAAAAAAUUUUAUUGACAAUAUAUUAAAUAAUUACCUAUUAAUUUUUAUUAUUUUUAAUUAUAUUCACGUUUGAUUAACUUGUAAUAUCAAUUUAUUCAUCAAUUCAAAUAAUAUCCUCAACGCAUGUGGAGUCUAUUUUCGUUUGAAAUAUUUUUCCCAAGCCUUGCCAUCAUAUCUGUAUAUUUGUUACCUUCUUUAAGGUUAAUAAAUAAUGGCUUUCUUGUUUUUGGCAAAUUUUUUACGUAAAAUACUAACAAUUUUGUGUCUGAAAACCGAAAGUUACUUUCAAAUGUGUGCCUUUUAUGCCUCUUGAGUUUCGUAUUUUUCUAAAUUUUUAAUUUCUUUAAAUUAUAAAAUUUUUUUAAAAAAAUUAUAAUUUUUUAUAUUAAAUCUCUUGAUAUAAAAUUUCGCUAACAAAAAAAUAAGUGGUCAUCUUCACAUGUCAAAUUUAAAAUUUUGGCUUAAAUAUUCAAUGACUCAAAUUCAUUUAACUCAAAUUUUAAAUUAUCCAAACUCAAAUAGAUUUAAAUAUAAAAUAAUUUGAAUUUGAAACGACACGAAUACGAAACUACAAAACUCAAAAUAGCCUAUACAACCUCUAUAAAUUAAAAUGAUUCAAACUCAAAAUUGACCCGAUUUAAUACUAACUUGAACCAAUCAAUUGAUAUAAUUUACUUUUCUUAUCAAUAAAAACGGCCGCAAAAAGGCCAUUGUAUCACUUUCUUAAUAUAGGUACAUAUUGAUAUUGACAUUUUCGAUGUAUCAUUUUAAGUUUAUUGAUGUUUUUAAGUAUUUUUCACAUGUGAUUUUUUCUUUUCUCCAAGUUGUUUGCUUCUUAUAUUUUAUUUUGCCCAAGACAAUGUCAACCUUCAAGUUGGUUAUUGCUCGCUUUUUUCUCCUUCCAUCAAUUCUUUCUUUAUUUCUUUCUUCUUCUUAUUCACUCCACAUGUAUUCUCUCUUUUCAGUUUGCAGAUCUAUUUUGUAGGUAUUUUUGUUGUUUUCACAAGUUGUGAUGGAUAGAUGACGAUGCCUGUCGUUCGCUAAAACUUCACUGGCUACCCAGUAGCUUUUCUUGGAAAAUGAGUGGCUCUUCAUUACCUUCUUAAUUUGUUUCUGUUUUGAGAAUAUUUCAGAACAAUAAAUGAUUUCACGAUUCGAUUUGGGCUCGUGUUGUCUUAAGUUUUAUAUAUAUUUUUGUUUGUUUUUCCAUUGUUUAAUAAGUCUUCAGUUUUGGAAGUUUUUGAUUGCUUUUGUAGCACGAUUUUUAGUCUUGCUUAUACAUGUAAUCUUAGUUUUACGAGUGAUUUUUGAGAUGAUUUUGUUGUCGCCCUCUAUAAUUUGGUGAAUGCUUGAUUCUUUUGUCAAUUUUUCCUCGCCGCUUUGGACCAUCCGGGGCUGAUAUCCUUGUCAUGUUAAAUGCUUGCUGUACAAUCUCGAUUCUGCCCGGGCCUUAAAUGCCCAAUACACCCAAUUUGCCCAGCCCAAAACCUACUUUUACAAUCCCUAAACCCAACACUCAAAACCAGACUAAAUUAAAACAAGCCCACUACCCGGUUACAGGCCCAGUUACAUUUACAACAUAAGCCCACCUACCCAAUCCAACCCAUUACAAUUGAACCCAUUAAAACUCUUAACCCAUCAGACCCACUAACCCAAAACAACCAUAACCCAACAACCCAUUAAAUACCCACAGCCCAAUUACCCAUCUGAAUUAACCCAAUAACCCAAUUUGACCCAACAACCCAACCUAGCCCACCAAGCCCACAUCUUUUUCAAUUAAAAAAAAACCAGUCAAAAGAAACCCUAGGUGUGCCGCACCUAGGUCUCCCCUUGUCCCAUCCACCAUAGACGUCUGCCACCACCUACUCAGCACCGCUUCAACCACUACCUGCACAGCAAACAGAACACGCAACAGCAGCAAAGAAUAAGAAAUAGACAGUGUAACAAAUGGGCUAUAAAAGCCGAAUGGAAAACUAUUGUAAAAGGGAAGGAAAAAGUUUGUAAAAAAUACAGAAAAAUCAAAAGAGAAAAAACGGGCCAUUCUUCAUCAAUACGAACAACAAAUUUUAAAACAAAGAAAUCAGUUCAAAUCGAAGGAAAAAAAACAGUAAGUAAUAAGCAGAUUCAGUCCAAGGUAGCCAAUAUUUUUCUUUUUCAUAUGCACAUCCAUCUACACACAUAUACAUAAAGAAUUUUCAUUUUUUAUUUUUGAUUACACGCGUAUAUAUAUACAAGAAUAAAGAACAUAUAAAAUAUAAAAAAAAGAGCUAAAAAUACCAUUUUUUGAAAGUUCGGCCACCGUGUAAGGUGGCCGACGGCGACGGUGCUGCGACGGCGACGGUGGCCUUCCGGGCCGGAUUCUGGAUUUGAUCGAGAGAAAAUAAGUUUCUCUCUCCCUCUUUUUUUUCCUCAACACGCAGAAAUGAUUUAAUUUUCAAAAUUUUUUAACUUUUAUAGGGGCCUGGAACGGCGUCGUUUUAGGCCUUGCACUUAAGCACUGAAACGGCGUCGUUUUAGGCCUUGCACUUAAGCACUGAAACGGCGUCGUUUAGGUGCCGACCCGCGUGUUGACCCGACCCGCUCCAAGGAUCUGCGUUUUUUUUAUUGGAAGGGCUAAUUGCACUUUUAGCCCCUCCGCUUUUUUAUGAUUUCACAAUUAGAUUUAUUGUGCUUUUAAUUUGGCCCUACAAUUUGUUGCACUUUUCAAUUCGGUCCCCAAUGCUGCUGCGCGUUUUAGCUGGAGGAGUUUAUUGUGCAUUUGGUCCCUCUAGGUCAUGCGCGCGUUGCAAUUUGAUCCUGUUUCCUAUUUUAUUUCUAAUUUCACCCCAAUAAUUCUAUUUUGGUCUCAAUUUCACCCUUUUUUUUGUUUUCAUUCUUAAAUAUUAUUUGUAAUAUUAAUUUUGCUAUUAUUACUGUUAUAUUAUUGUUACUUAUUAUUAUUAUUAUUAUUAUUAUUGUUAUGUACAUUUUAUUUAUACUAUUCUUAAUAUUAUUAUUAUAUGUAUUAUCAUUAUUAUAAAUAUUAGUAUAUAUUUUUAUUAUACAUGUAUAUAUACUCUUUAUAUAUGGUAUUAUUUUUAACAUUAUUAUAUUUACUAUCAUAUUUAUUAUUUUUAAUAUAUUAUUAUUUAUUAUUUUAUUUUCCUUAUCUCAUUAUUUUAUCAUAUUUUCUUUUUGUAUUUUUACUAUUACUAUUAUUAUUAUUAUUAUUAUUAUGUAAUAAUGUAUACCUUUUAUGUACGUAUAUGUAUAUACAUGUUUAUAUAUGGUGUUACUUUAUUAUGUUAUUUUAAUAUCUUUAUUAUAUUUGCUUUUUAUAUUUUAAUAUUUUAAUAUUUUAAUUAUCAUGAUUACUAUAUAUUAGUGUGUGAAUUUUUUUUAUAUAUGUAUAUGUUUUUUAAUAUAUUUAUGUAUAUACUUAUGUAGGUUGUUACUAGUCGUUUUUAUUCUUAAUAUUUAUAUAUUAUGUAAAUAUUCUAAUAUUAUAUUGUAUAUAUCUAUAUAUAUUUUUUGUAUAUAUUAUGUAUAUAUGUUUUCAAUAUUGUAUUUUACGUAUAUUAUUAUGUAUAUAUUUUAAUAUUAUUAGAUAUACAUCUUUUAUAUUAUUUUAUGUAUAUUUCUAAUAUUAUUGUAUAUUUCUAACAUCAUUAUUAUUUAUAUAUAUAUGUAUGUAUGUAUGCAUUUAUAUAGCGUAUGAAUAGUUUUUUUAUUUUAUUAUCAUUUCUAAUAUAUAUAUUAUAUAUAUUUUAUAUAUUAUGUAUGUAUUGUAAUGUUAUUAGUUACAUAUUUCUUAUGCUUUUCCAUGUAUGUAUUUUUUAUAUCAUCUUAUGUACGUAUACAAACACUACGUUAUAUACGUAUAUAAAUAAUAUAAAAUUUUAAUACCAUAUUAUGUACGUAUUGUUAUCAUAUCUAUUUUUAUCCCUAUUAUAUUUGUUGUUAAUACUAGUACAUACAUUUUAGGAGUGUAUAUAUACUUUUAUAUAUAGUAUUAUUUUCAUACAUCAUUAUAUUUAUUAUUAUACCUAUUAUUUUCACUAUUAUCACUUAUUAUUUUAUUUUAAUAUUAUUAUGUUUUUCAUAUAUGUUAUGUACAUACAUUUUUCAAUAUUUAUUUCCUAUAUAUAUGUAUUAUGUAUAUAUAUUUUUUAACAUUACUAGUUAUAUAUUUUUACUAUCUUAUGUAUAUACUUCAAACACUAUUACUAUUUAUAUAUAUAUUUUUUACGUACAUACUCUUAAUAUCAUUAUUAUGUAUAUAUAUUCAUUGUUUUUAUUUCGUGUUUGAUACUAUUAUUACGUUUAACAUAUCGCAUGCAUUAUUAUUGUCCUUAAUAUUGUUGUCGUAUUUAUUAUGUGCUUCAAUGUGUUUCUAAAUCUUAUUUUUUUUCCUCGCCCAUUUUAUAUCAAUUGGUUGUUCACUAUUUUAAAGAUUUUUAUUCAUGUUUUUAUAAAUAAGGCAAUGUACCGAUUUAACAUUAAGCCAUAGAUUUCAUCGCUAUAUUGGAUGAAAUUUGUCGGCUCGUGUUAAAGACGGAACACCCUUCUAAAAAAACCGAAAAAACUAAAAGAUUUUCAUUUUUAAUUAGAUCAUGAUUAAAUGUUAAAUUGAAUUCGUACUUUUGAAAAUCAAGGCAACACGAGUUUAAUAAUGAUACCAAUUUUGGGUGUCGCGAGGGUGCUAAUACCUUACUCGUGCGUAACUGACUCCCAAACUCUAUUUUUCUCUAGAUUUUCACAUAGAUCCAAAUUCAGCCUUCAUUUUUGUUCAAGAAUAAGUUUUCUUUUAAAAAAAGAUGAUUUAUUAGGUGUCCGAUCACACCUAGAAAAAGGAUCGGUGGCGACUCCCCUUUUUAAUAAAAUCGAAAGUCAUUUUGAAAUUUUCAAUAAAUCGCCUCAAUUAGCGACUCGAAAGCUAAAAUUUUUAUGUCGCUACACUUGCAAUCACUCUAGAUAUAUGGUGCUUGAGUUGUGACAAAGUCAAUUGUCAACGUGUCAUAAUAUUCUAUUGAUGCUUAGGCUAAAGCCUUUGUUGUGUUGACAUAUUUUGUCCUUUACUAUAUACGACGAGUGUUUAUUAUUUUUUUUCCUGAAUUGUAUGGCUCCAUUCAUUGAAUGAAUUAAUGGAUUUCCCUUUAAAAAAAUUAUUCACAUAUAUAUAUUCAGGGGCGUAGCCAGGGGGGCUAGCAUGGGCCCCGACCCCCCUAAAAUGGAAAAUUUUAUUUUAGGCCAUUGAAAUUUUUUAAAAAUUUUAAAUUAGUAAAGAUAAAAUUGUACUUUGCCCCCCCUAAAAUUAUAAAAAUUCAAUUUAAUCCUUUACAAAUUAUAAAAAUAUAAACUAUAAAAAAUUAAAAUUUCAUCCGACCCCCCCUAAAAAAUUUUUCUGGCUUCGCCCCUGUAUAUAUUUAUAGUUAAUUUUAGUUUUUUUAAUAAAUGAUGCAUUAUUUUAGUUAAAAAAUAAAUUAUUAUUGUAUAUGUCGAAACCAUUUUCAAAUCGAGUUUUGGAAAAUGGGAAUCGAUUUUAAAAACAAAAACGGGAGUCGCCACCAAUCUUUUUAGGUGUGAUUGGAUCACCUUUAAAACAUUUUGUUUUAAAAUCAUUAGUUUUGGUCCACGAAAUAAAAGAACGGGUUCGGGAGUCAGUUACGUACGAGGAAGGAUUAGCACCCUCGUAACGCCCAAAAGUUGGUACCUAAUCGAUUAUCAAAUGUCUUUAAUGUCGGAAAUUUAAAAAAAAAAUUAAGAUGUAGUGCUCUUUAAAAUAUUUUAACUUUGAAAAUUGAGAUUCACUCGCGUCAAAGUAUUGACAUUAAGUUAACCCUUUUUGAAAUUCCUAUCUCGAAACAGCAAAACGCCAUAUCCAAUAAGUUAGGACACAUUGCUUUGAAAUUCCAAGAUAGUGGCUUGCAUUUAGAAAACCUUUAAAAAAACUUAGAAGGGUACUUAAUUAUUCGAAUUCAACGAGAAAAGUGGCAACCCAAUAAGUUAGGGCACUACUUUCUCGAAAUUUCCAAACACCAAGCAUUGCCUUUAUAUUUUUUGAAAUCCUUGAAGUCUCAUUUUUAAAAUCGAUGCAUGAAGGAGUGCAUUAACAUGAUAAAACAUAACAUACAAGAUAGUGUCGUAAUCAUUUUUUUUGAAAACGGGAUCGACUUUGGUUUUGAAAGUGACAAUUAAAACGGGAACGGAUUUGAAAUUCGAUCCUUUCUAUUAAUAUCGAUUUUAAAAUGCUUGAAUUAGCUCAAAUCGAUUGUUUAAAGAUUUCCUUAUCUCGAGAUAUCGAAAUAUCACAUCCCUUAAGUUAGGACAUAAUAACGUGAAUUCCCCAAGCACAAGGUCGUCUUUUAAUUUAAAUGAGAGUUUCGUGUGUUUUAAAACUCGAAAAGGAUAUUUAGCUAUUUAGAGAUAACGAGAAAAUUGAAACCCCGUAAGUUAGGGCACAAUUCCUCGAUAUCUCAAAAUGCAUAACAUUGCCUUAUUUGGAAAAUUUCGUUUUUGAAUAGUAGCGAAUGCAAUAUUUAAACAACAAGUGUUAUUUAUUUGGAGUAAAAGUGGAACGAUCCAUAUUGGAUAAAACGUUGAAGUCUAAUACACGAUACGAUGACGUGAGAAAAAAAUAUAGUAAUGUGCAUAGAAUGAUAGUGCGCGGAAUAAUAAUGCAUGAAUAAAAUAUUACACUAGUGAAUGACAAUAAUAUGAAAAUAUAAAUAACGAAUCAUAGUACAUGCAAUAGCAACAAUCAUACAACAUUUAAAUGAUAACAUCAAUAAAUAAGGACCAAUGAAUUAAAAUGAUAAAAAGGUAUAAAGCAAAUUAAAAUAAAUAAAGUGUGAACAAAUUUUAGAAUGAUAAUAAAUGAGUUUAAAAUAAGUAAUAUAAAAAAGGUGUCUUAAAAAUCCAUUACCACACAAAGUAGAAUUUUAAAAAAAUGAAUAAUUUUAUAUAAUAUGUAUAUAUAAAAGGGGUAAAAUGAUAUGUAAAAAAACCUAAAAUAAAUAAUGAUAAAAUCAUUUGAAAUAAGUAAAAUGGGUUUAAAAUAAAGUAUAUAAAAUAAUUUUAAAAUAAGUAAUAUAUAAUAGUUAAUUUAAAAUGAUAUAUAACAAGUUUAAAAAAACAUAUAAUAUGUAAAAGAAUUAAAAAGGGACAAUAUAAAUAUACUUUGUAAUAGUAACAAUUCAAAGAUAAUAAAGAGAGAGUUAUUUGAAAUACAUAAUAUACAAUAACUUAAAAUAUAUAUAAAAAAUUAAAAUAAAUAUAUAAUAAUUUUUGAAGAAUUAUAAAUAUAUAAAAAGCUUGAAAUAAACUAUAUAUAUACAUAUAUAUAAUAGGUAAGGAAUAAAAAAAAAUACAUAUAAAGUAGAUUAAGGUAAUAUAUAUAUACAUAAAGCAAGUUAAGAUAAAUAAUAAGAAUUUGAAUAAUCAAAACAUUAAAAUAAGUUAGAAUAGAUAUAAAUAAGUAACAUAUAAAAUAUUUGAAAUAAUAUGUAAAUAAAACAAACACAAAAAAAGGUUAAUAAGUGAAUUAAAUAGAUUUAGGUCAUGACUAAAAAUAAAUUAAAAUUCGAGGUAUAAAAGUAUAAAUACUGAAAAGUUAAUUAAGGAUAAAAACGAAAACCAAAUAGGAUCUGAGGGCUAAAUUUUAAAACAAAAGAAGACAGAAAAUGAGGCUGAUUGAAUGGGGGUUGAAAAGGAAAAGGACUAAUUGCAUAAAUCUCCCUUUUAGGGAAAAUGCCAAACCCCCCCCCACCAUACCAAACGUCAUCAUCAUUUAAAAACAAAACCUUUCUUUUUCAUUUCAUCUCCAGUUCCUUUUUUUUUCAACAGAGAGCCUUUUUUUUUUUGCUUUCUCUCAUUUCCCUUUUCUCCCCACCCCUUGGUUUCUCUCUUUUUGGCUAGGGUUUUAAGACCCAUCCUAGCCGCCGUCGUCCCGACUCCGCCAUGGGUGGUGGUUAAAACCGCAAGGGACGUUUUUAGGCCCGUUUCAGAGCUAUUCAAAUGCCACGUUUCCUUUAGCCCGAAGACGAGAAGGAAGGAGAUCCUUUUACCCCCUUUGGAAUCGACUCUGUCGACGGAGAUGAGGCUCCGUCGGCGCGGCUCUGGUGCGGUCCAGGUAAGUGUUUCCUUUCUUUUUGUUUAGAGAAUAAAUUUCUAAAAAAAAUAUGAUAUGAAAUAUAAAAAAUACCAAAAGAACAUGAGAAUAGAAAUCGAAAUCGACCUUCCUCUUUUUUUUUGCUUUUUUGAUUGCUUAAUAUGUGUGAUACAAUUUUUGUAUCUUCCCCCCACUUCGUUUUGACUUUUUCUUGGCUUUAUAGCCGAUUACAAUAGUAGAAAAAUAUUGUUUUUCUUUGUCUCUACCACUGUUCGUGUCUUGUUUCGGUUUUCUACUCCUUGUUUGUCUUUUCUUUUGCAGGUGUGGUCAGAGGCGUGGAGGGCAGAAGGUAUGGGCGAUGGUAUGGGACGCCUGUUUCAGGUGUUGUGCACCCUGAGGCCAGCACAUGGAGGCAGCGGCGCAAGGCUUGUGGAGCUAGGGUUUGAAUUGUUGAAAAGUUUUAAGAUAGUUGGGUUAGGAUUUUGACUUGGGCUUGGGUAUUGGGUUAAUGGGCUGAUCUGGUCUGUAUUUUGAUUUGUAAAAGGACGGUAUAAAUGGACAUUUUGAUUUUUUUCAAAAUUUGGUUUAUUUAUUUUAAGGCCCGGGCAAAAUAUAGGUUCUACAGUAUACAUGUAAAUAUAUCUCAAUUAUAUCCAUAUAUAAAUAUAAGUUUUAAAAUUAUUAAUUUUUUUUCAAUAAUUUAAUCUAAUAACUAUUAAUUUUAAAUUUACUUGUAGAAAAAUUAAAAUAGUUAAGAUAAAAAAAUUUAAAAUUAGCUGAAAUACCAAAAUUUUGUACUAGUCAGUACAAGUCAGUAUUGACCAAAAAAAGUUGAAACACACCGAAAAUUUAACCAAAAUGGAACGUAGACUAUUUUAUACUGGUUUAGAAUCGGAAUGGUAUGAUCAAUAACCAGUUCAUUACCAACUACCAUAUUAAAAGCAUACAAUUUUGGGUUGUAUAAUAUAGUUUCUCAUCGGAUAAGUUGACGUUUACCAUAAUUAAGAUCAAUUUUGUAUAGAAUAACAAAGUCAUUCAAUUUUAACGAAUCAAUAAAUGUUUUCGAAAUCGUAAUAUUCUGAUUAAUCUUUUCAAUACGAGUACUUUCUAAAAAGAUAAGUGUGCUCCACUCCUAUAAACAGAUAACCACAUGAUUGGAGAAACGCUUUGACUGAGCAUUUGGUUGAGAAAUUUUUUAUCAGGAAAGGAACUAUCAUAGAUUCAAAUUCAAAAUUGUUACUAUAAAAUAUAAAUAACUUCUCCUAUCACCUUAACAUACAAAUAUAUAUUAAAACAAAAACUAAAUAAUACAAAUCCCACCUACGGUAUCCAAACGCCAUUCUCUGAACUUCAUUUUUCCUUCAAAAUAAAGCUUCGAUUUGAUCUCUUUUAGUGAAAAAAUGGCUGAAAAUCUUAUGCAUGCUUUACAAUAUAACAGCUAUGGCGGAGGCGCUGCUGCUUUGAAGGUGAAAAUCUACUUCAUUACAAUGAUUUAUUUUGCUUUUCUUUUUUUUUUGUACUGUUUUUCUUCAUUUAAUUUUGUUUGGUUGAGAUAUUAGUUCGUCUUUUAAGUGGAGAUUUCAAUUAAGGUUGUUAAUCUAGUGUUUAUGUUGAUCUAAGUUUGUUCUUCGGAUUCAAAAUUCUAUUAGUUAAAUUUGUGAUUUAAGAAAGCAUGAAGAUGAUUCCAAUGUGUGCCGUGAGUUACUCAGGAAGUGGAAUUUUCUGGAACGGAAAUGAACUAGGGAUUUGGUAUUCGGAAUUAAAAUUUCACAAAAAGGAUCUGAGAUUGAGAGGUUGACUUGAUGGAGAAGUUAAGUCUUGACCCAUUUUAUCGUCGGAUUCAAAUUUUUAUUAGUUAAAUUUGUGAUUGAAAGCAUAUAGAUAAUUUGAAUGAGUGCCGCAAAGCACUAGGAUAGUGGAAUUUUCUGGAAAUGAAGUAAAUUAAGGAUUUGCUGAGACGGAGAGGUUGAUACUUGACAGUGAAGUUAAGUGUUUAAAUUUUUUAUAUGGACCUGCUUGAUAUAAACUUGAAAAAAUAACCGGCAGGGACUUGAUUUUAUAACGCUGUGAAUUUUUGUGCUUUUUACAGCAUGUUGAAGUUCCGAUCCCAACUCCAAAUAAAGGUGAAAUUUUGCUUAAACUGGAGGCAAUUAGUCUAAACCCAGCUGACUGGAAAAUACAGAAAGGGAUGCUGCACCCACUUUUACCUAGAAAAUUCCCCUUCAUACCUGGUAGUUUAUAUAUUCUCGAGACUCUUUCUUUUUAUGAAUGAUGUUUGAACCAGACCGGUAGGGGUACCAGUCCAGAUAAUGGCUUUGAACCGGUACAGACCGGUUGAACCGAUGGUUUACAUUUGUGGAGUUUGCUUUAAUUGCAACUAUUGAUGGGAAAAAAUGUGUCUAUUUGUUAACUCAAGUGAUCAUUAAAGGACAGAAUUUGUCUAGUUGUUAAGGCAUAUCCUUUUUUAUAAUUAACCAACAAAAUAAUAGACUGGUUUGUAGGUCUCUUAGUUUAAGCAUUUGUGGUUAUUUGAUGGUAAUUUUUGGCAUCCUAUUGUCAUAGAGCUAAUGCUUUUAAAACUUGAAGAUUUGAUAUCUCAAAUGAAAGUUGUCUAGCUAUAUACCAUUUGUAAGUUAUAUUAAAGAACCAGUCUUCAGUAAGCUUUGCAGUUUUCUCUCUGUUGAUAUUUGGAUCGCCGCAUUUUAAUCAUCGGUUAAAGAUUUUUAUUUUCUUGUGCAGCAAGUGAUGUAGCCGGAGACGUCGUAAAGGUUGGACCAGGAGUCACAAAUUACAAAGUUGGGGAUAAAGUUGUGUCUCUGCUUCAUCAUUUUGUAAGUUCUCAUUCUCAUUCUUAACCCCGCCACCCCCCCCCCAAAAAAAAAAAAAAACCAACAUAAAAAGUCCUGCCCUGUUGUCUCGUAUUAUAAACGAAUCAAUAUCAAUUAUGUAGAUUGCUAUUGCCAUCUUCUAAUAUGAAUUAGAUUUGAAAUGAUAGACCGGAGGUGGACUAGCUGAAUAUGCUGUGGCUAAGGAGAAUCUGACAGUUGCAAGGCCACCAGAAAUACCAGUUGCCGAAGCCGCUGGUUUACCCAUGGCUGGUCUCACAGCUCACCAAGCUGUCACCCAUAGGGCUGGGGUCAAGCUUGACGGAAGUGGCCAGCAAUUAAACCUCUUGAUUACUGCUGCUUCAGGUGGUAUAGGUCAUUAUGCAGUUCAACUAGCAAAGCUUGGAAACACACAUGUAACAGCACUUGUGGGGCUCGUAAUCUGGAUUUUGUCAAAAGCCUCGGAGCAGACGAGGUUCUUGACUACAAAACUCCCGACGGUGCAACUCUGAAAAGCCCUUCCGGUCGCAAAUACGAUGUAGUUAUCCACUGUGCUUCUGGUAUUACUUGGUCUACCUUUGAACCUAAUCUAAGUUCAAACGGGAAGGUAAUCGACAUAACCCCUGGUCUUAGUGCUUUCCUGACUUGUGCUAUGAAAAAGCUUACCUUCUCAAAGAAGAAGAUGGUACCACUGCAAUUGUCACCUAAAAAGGAGAACCUCGAUUAUCUGGUAAACUUAGUGAAAGACGGGAAGCUUAAGACGGUAAUCGAUUCAAAGUAUCCCCUAAGUAAGGCUGAGGAAGCAUGGGCUAAG